rnacentral:ncRNA from 2 species
UGGCGUGAACCGGGGUGCCCUUGUUGGGCUGAGAUCAUACCCGUAUGACCUGAUCUGGAUAAUGCCAGCGAAGGGAGCGAUCACAUGGCAGACAG